rnacentral:rRNA from 1 species
AUUGAACGCUGGCGGCAGGCCUAACACAUGCAAGUCGAGCGAGUGGCGGACGGGUGAGUAAUGUAUGGGGAACUGCCCGAUGGAGGGGGAUAACUACUGGAAACGGUAGCUAAUACCGCAUACCAUCGGAUGUGCCCAUAUGGGAUUAGCUAGUAGGUGGGGUAACGGCUCACCUAGGCGACGAUCCCUAGCUGGUCUGAGAGGAUGACCAGCCACACUGGAACUGAGACACGGGCCAGACUCCUACGGGAGGCAGCAGUGGGGAAUAUUGCACAAUGGGCGCAAGCCUGAUGCAGCCAUGCCGCGUGUAUGAAGAAGGCCUUCGGUUUGUAAAGUACUUUCAGCGAGGAGGCGUUACUCGCAGAAGAAGCACCGGCUAACUCCGUGCCAGCAGCCGCGGUAAUAC